AUUAAACGCUGGCGGCAUGCCCUUACACAUGCAAGUCGAACGGCAGCACGGGGGCAACCCUGGUGGCGAGUGGCGGACGGGUGAGUAAAGCAUCGGAACGUAUCCUGGAGUGGGGGAUAACGUAGCGAAAGUUACGCUAAUACCGCAUAUUCUGUGAGCAGGAAAGCAGGGGAUCGCAAGACCUUGCGCUCUGGGAGCGGCCGAUGUCGGAUUAGCUAGUUGGUGGGGUAAAGCCUACCAAGGCGACGAUCCGUAGCGGGUCUGAGAGGAUGAUCCGCCACACUGGGACUGAGACACGGCCCAGACUCCUACGGAGGCAGCAGUGGGGAAUUUUUGGACAAUGGGCGGAAGCCUGAUCCAGCCAUGCCGCGUGAGUGAAGAAGGCCUCGGUGUAAG
rnacentral:rRNA from 1 species